rnacentral:rRNA from 1 species
CCUUACCUAAGCUUGACAUCCCAAUGACAUCUCCUUAAUCGGAGAGUUCCCUUCGGGGACAUUGGAGACAGGUGGUGCAUGGUUGUCGUCAGCUCGUGUCGUGAGAUGUUGGGUUAAGUCCCGCAACGAGCGCAACCCUUGUCUUUAGUUGCCAUCAUUAAGUUGGGCACUCUAGAGAGACUGCCAGGGGUAACCUGGAGGAAGGUGGGGAUGACGUCAAAUCAUCAUGCCCCUUAUGCUUAGGGCUACACACGUGCUACAAUGGGUAGUACAGAGGGUUGCCAAGCCGUAAGGUGGAGCUAAUCCCUUAAAGCUACUCUCAGUUCGGAUUGUAGGCUG